rnacentral:rRNA from 1 species
CACGUAGGCGGAUUGUUAAGUCGGGGGUGAAAUCCUGAGGCUCAACCUCAGAACUGCCUUCGAUACUGGCAAUCUCGAGUCCGGAAGAGGUUGGUGGAACAGCUAGUGUAGAGGUGAAAUUCGUAGAUAUUAGCUAGAACACCAGUGGCGAAGGCGGCCAACUGGUCCGGUACUGACGCUGAGGUGCGAAAGCGUGGGGAGCAAACA